rnacentral:pre_miRNA from 1 species
AUGUUACUCCCUCGGUUCGGAAUUAUUCGUCGAAGAAAUGAAUGUAUCUAGAUGUAUUUUGGUUGUAGAUACAUUCAUUUUUGUGACAGGUAAUUCCGAACGAAGGGAGUAGAAC